rnacentral:ncRNA from 1 species
AAACGGAGUAGAAGCAGUCAGGCUUUGCCAGGUCAUUGCUCCACCU